CCUACGGGGGGCAGCAGUGAGGAAUAUUGGUCAAUGGACGAGAGUCUGAACCAGCCAAGUAGCGUGAAGGAUGACUGCCCUAUGGGUUGUAAACUUCUUUUAUAUGGGAAUAAAAUGUUCCACGUGUGGGAUUUUGUAUGUACCAUAUGAAUAAGGAUCGGCUAACUCCGUGCCAGCAGCCGCGGUAAUCCGGAGGAUCCGAGCGUUAUCCGGAUUUAUUGGGUGUAAAGGGAGCGUAGGUGGAUUGUUAAGUCAGUUGUGAAAGUUUGCGGCUCAACCGUAAAAUUGCAGUUGAAACUGGCAGUCUUGAGUACAGUAGAGGUGGGCGGAAUUCGUGGUGUAGCGGUGAAAUGCUUAGAUAUCACGAAGAACUCCGAUUGCGAAGGCAGUUCACUGGACUGCAACUGACACUGAGGCUCGAAAGUGUGGGUAUCAAACAGGAUUAGAUACCCGAGUAGUC
rnacentral:rRNA from 1 species